UCUCCUGGGAAACGGGUGGUAAUGCCGGAUGCUCCGACUCCUCGCAUGGGGUGUCGGGAAAGAUUUCAUCGGUAUGGGAUGGGGUCGCGUCCUAUCAGGUAGUCGGCGGGGUAACGGCCCACCGAGCCUACGACGGGUAGCCGGCCUGAGAGGGCGACCGGCCACAUUGGGACUGAGAUACGGCCCAGACUCCUACGGGAGGCAGCAGUGGGGAAUAUUGCACAAUGGGCGCAAGCCUGAUGCAGCGACGCCGCGUGCGGGAUGACGGCCUUCGGGUUGUAAACCGCUUUUGAUCGGGAGCAAGCCUUCGGGUGAGUGUACCUUUCGAAUAAGCACCGGCUAACUACGUGCCAGCAGCCGCGGUAAUACGUAGGGUGCAAGCGUUAUCCGGAAUUAUUGGGCGUAAAGGGCUCGUAGGCGGUUCGUCGCGUCCGGUGUGAAAGUCCAUCGCUUAACGGUGGAUCUGCGCCGGGUACGGGCGGGCUGGAGUGCGGUAGGGGAGACUGGAAUUCCCGGUGUAACGGUGGAAUGUGUAGAUAUCGGAAAGAACACCA
rnacentral:rRNA from 1 species